rnacentral:rRNA from 1 species
GAAUUUUGGACAAUGGGCGAAAGCCUGAUCCAGCAAUGCCGCGUGCAGGAUGAAGGCCUUCGGGUUGUACACUGCUUUUGUACGGAACGAAAAGCUUUGGGUUAAUACCUUGGAGUCAUGACGGUACCGUAAGAAUAAGCACCGCCUACCUACGUGCCAGCAGCCGCGGUAAUACGCAGGGUGCAAGCGUUAAUCGGACUUACUGGGCGUCAAACGGGCGCAGGCGGUUUUGUAAGACAGAGGUGAAAUCCCCGGGCUCAACCUGGGAACUGCCGUUGUGACUGCAAGUCUAGAGUACGGCAGAGGGGGGUGGAAUUCCGCGUGUAGCAGUGAAAUGCGUAGAUAUGCGGAGGAACACCGAUGGCGAAGGCAACCCCCUGGGCCUGUACUGACGCUCAUGCACGAAAGCGUGGGGAGCAAACA